CUCAGCGCCAGUCCGCGUUUGCCCUCAGCCCCUCCCGCCUCGCCUGACGGCCCCGCGAGCUGAAAGCCCGGGGCCAGGCGCUGUGAGGGGCCGGGGGCAGGCGCUAGGAGCUCGUUUGAUGCCGUUGCCGCUUUACCCCCUCUUCUGCAGAGCACCCUCUGAACAGCGCCUGGCUCAGGAAAACACCUUUUUAAGUCUUCCAGCCUGUGGGAGGCGGUCUGCAGAGCUGUGUGAAGCUGCAGCAGGACCAGACUUGCACGAAGUGGGAAUACCAGGCACCUUGCAAGGAGGGAAGAAUGCAGACUGCGUGCUAACUGCACACACUGCUCGUAAGAACCAUAUGCUGCCUUGAAGAACUUUAAAGGACAAUACCAGCUUCUGCUCAAAAGCCUGCAGUGCCAUCAGGUCUGUCUCAGAAGCUGAGCAGGAAGAUAUGCUCAGGACAGAGGGAGGCACAGGACAGGGGACUCCCCCUCAGCUCACCCCAGCCUGGAGAAAAACCCCCACAUAGUGCUGGGUGCAGGACCAUACCCGAAGAGCACCGUUCCCCGCCCCAAACUGCACCUUCACUGCAGUCUCUUCAGGCUCUGCUCCCAGCUCUGAACUUUAAGCAACAAGCACAAGCAAUUACCUUUCAAGUGAUGUUUUCUUUUCUUUAUCUAUUUCUUGCCAUUCUGUGGACUGCAGUAAGACCUGGCCAGGCUGCUACUCCCACCACACCUCAUGCUAGGAUCUGAGCGCAUCCAGCCCAGGAGAGGGCUUACGCCACUGGCUGCAACACCAGAGGCCUCCUUUCCAACCUGCAAGGAAAAUAAGGACUACUUAGCUGUGCUACCAUCCACCCAUUCUGACGAGGCAGUGCAUCUUCACACAGACCUUGGGACAAAGAGCCAGGAUUGUGCAUGCCUUGGGGGUCCCAGGCAGCCAACCAGGUGGCUGCAGUAUGAUUUGGAACAGACAAGUGAAGAUGUCCACUUCAAGAGGAGAAAAAAACAUCUCUAAGAUGCAAAUUUUACACAAACUAAGACUGGAAAUAGGAUUUCAGCUCCUCACUGGAGUAAAUGCUUUAUCUGAGUACUGAAGUGUAAGAAAGAAAACACAAAUAAAUCUGAAGACACAGCAUCCA
rnacentral:lncRNA from 1 species